ACGGGAGGCAGCAGUGGGGAAUAUUGCACAAUGGGGGAAACCCUGAUGCAGCGACGCCGCGUGAAGGAAGAAGUAUCUCGGUAUGUAAACUUCUAUCAGCAGGGAAGAAAAUGACGGUACCUGACUAAGAAGCCCCGGCUAACUACGUGCCAGCAGCCGCGGUAAUACGUAGGGGGCAAGCGUUAUCCGGAUUUACUGGGUGUAAAGGGAGCGUAGACGGAAUUGCAAGUCUGAUGUGAAAGGCAUGGGCUCAACCUGUGGACUGCAUUGGAAACUGUGAUUCUUGAGUGCCGGAGGGGUAAGCGGAAUUCCUGGUGUAGCGGUGAAAUGCGUAGAUAUCAGGAGGAACACCGGUGGCGAAGGCGGCUUACUGGACGGCAACUGACGUUGAGGCUCGAAGGCGUGGGGAGCAAACAGGAUUAGAUACCCUGGUA
rnacentral:rRNA from 1 species